CAGGGAAUAUUAGAAAUGGACGAAAGUCUGAUCUAGCGACACCGCGUGUGCGAUGAAGGCCUUCGGGUUGUAAAGCACUUUUUGGGAGGAAUAGGAAGGAAGGUACUUCCAGAAUAAGUCUCGGCUAACUACGUGCCAGCAGCCGCGGUAACACGUAGGAGGCAAACGUUAUCCGGAUUUACUGGGCGUAAAGCGCGUGUAGGUGGUUCUGUAAGUAGGGCGUGAAAGCUCCCGGCUCAACUGGGAGAGGCCGUUCUAAACUGCAGAGCUAGAGGAUGGUAGAGGGAGGUGGAAUUCCAGGUGUAGCGGCGGAAUGCGCAGAUAUCUGGAGGAACACCAGUGGCGAAAGCGGCCUCCUGGACCAUUCCUGACACUCAGACGCGAAAGCUAGGGUAGCAAACGG
rnacentral:rRNA from 1 species